CCCAUAAUGUGCAUAUUCUUUAGUAGAAAGUGAUGAAACCACCCGUCAGACGUAUUGUGAAGUUAUAUAUAAUUUGCGUUUUCUAUACAUGUAUUUGUAUGGGCAGGUGAAAUACUUGAGCAAGGGGAGAACUAACCGCUGCAGGGAUUUUUUGAGAAUCACUAUAGGUAUAUGCAGCAAUAUAGCUCAUUACACCGUAAUCUAUG